rnacentral:lncRNA from 1 species
GGCGAUAAAGCUGCCGGAGUCCGCGGCGGCGGAGGCGGCUGCGGCGAGCAAGGAGGCUGACGACGCACAAUGCAAAGACGGCUUUUCAGAGCAGCCAGUGGGGCAGGACAAUGUUUUUCAUCAAAUGUCCUUAGAUUUGGAGGAGGCCAGGAAAGCGGAAGAGACCUCCAGCUGCACAACGACCUGUCCCCCACACCCAACCACAAGUUUAUGAAGGGAUGCAGAACAGCAUGAAUACUGCAAAAGAUGCUCUGUGCAUCAGAGAAGUGUCCUUACCCGAAUGCAGGUGGACAAGCAGUUAAACACAGUGGCUUUGAGUGUGAAGGCUUCUCCUCGCACCACAGAAUAAGGAAGGAACGUCCAGAAGAGAGAGAUUUAAAUUGCUUUCAGCUAAGCUGUAGACCUCUAGCAGAUGAACGACAUAUUUUCCUGAAGGACUUGCUUCGGUGUGGAAGUGAUUCCGCUGUGAGUUGUGUCUUUUGCGUUGUUGCACUCUUCAUCAUAUUCAUCCGCAGGACCUCCAGCUCUAAAGGGUGUGAAGAGGAUACUGACCCACCAGAAAGAGACCCCACUGCUAGAACGAAUAAGAUGUGCUGAAAGCCGGAGCAUAACUUGGCCAUUCCCAAGAUUUAACAACAAACUAACUACCCAUCAUUAACAGUAAAGAAAGAAAACAAUCAGUAAGAGAUUAUAUAGACCUAAGAGAUGUUACAGACCGAAGAAGAACCUAUGGAGGAAGACAGGAAGAUGAGAGAGAUUUGAAGAUGGUAUGUGGCUGAAUUUGAAGAUAGAGAAAGGAACCGCAAGCAAAGAAUGCAAGAGGUCUCUAGAAGCUGGAAAAGGCAAGGAAAGAGUCUCCCCUCAAGCUCCAGCAGGAAUGCAGUCCUGACACCUUGAGUUUAGCCUAGUGAGACUUCUGACCUCCAGAACUAGAAGAUACAAGUGGUGUUUUAAGGCACUAAAACGAAGAACUAGAAGUAUUGUUUUAAGCCCAUAAAUUUGUGAUAAUCUGUUACAGUAGUAAUAGGCAAUGCAUACACAAGCACACAAAGUAAAAUUUUUCUGUGGUUAUUUUCCAUAUUUUUUCAGUUAUUUUCUGCCUUUUGAAGACAUUAAAGACAUAAAAUGAAUAUGUAUUAGUUUAGGAAUAAAAUUUAAAAUGUAGGAAUGCUAUAAAAGAAGAAAAAAUUUUAACUGGGCUAAAGCAAACCCAGUAUGUCAUCCUAUUACAUCAGCUUCUUCAUCUUUGGAUGAAGAGGUUGGUGACUGUUUCUUCUAAUGUGAGAAUAGCUCCAAAUUGCUAAAUUGUUCAGAAUUUGACAAGAUGAAAGAGGAAAGAAAAAGGAAAUCUUGAAAACAUUUACUGUUUCCUUGUUCAAUGGAUAACACAUGGAUUCCUGAUUGGGAGAUUUUUCCUCUUGCUUUGAUCUGAAGGCAGAAGGAAAUAUAUUCAUUAUUGUUUAAAAGAAUACAUUUUAACCUAACUUUAAAACAUUCAUGAUAUAUUUGUGAACCAUAAUCU